AGCCCUGUAGUGAACUCUCACAUUGAACUGCAAAUUCAAAGAAGCAGCCUGGACGCCGCCGGGGCUUC
rnacentral:tRNA from 1 species